CGUUUACUUUCCUCUUCAGAAGAUGCAAAAACUGAAGGAUUACCUGUCUGGAUCUAAGAAGCUCAAAGAUGGCCUUAAAAAUGAUCCGCCUCCUUACAGCCCACCUUUCAAUGACAUGGCAGCUUUCAGGGUUCUGGAUCUUCCCCCUUACAGCCCUUCUGAUAUCAGUGAUACCACAGCCAUCACAGAAGAGAAACAGAAGUCAGAAUGAUUAGACGGUUGGACUAGAACUGAGGAGACCUGAACUGAAAUCUCCAUUCAGCCAUGAAACUCACUGGGUGAAUCUGGGCUGGUCACAUCUCUCAGCCCAACCUACCUGACAGGGUGGUUGUGACCACAUACGCUGCUCUAGGCUCCUUGAAGGAAGAGCACAUAUAAAUGUAACUAAAUGAAUUUUGUCUACUGGUAUGUGACUUUUUGAAAAUGGCAGCUUCAGGAGCCCUAAUGGGUUGAAUGACGGGACUGAGAUGUGUCUCUUGGCCUCAAGGGAUGGAGUGCAACCGAAAUGAAUAAAGCAAAAAAUCUGUAUCAUAUCAAUAACAUCAGUAUUUAGCAGAUGUUUGAAGUGUGUCUGUACUCAUUUAC